rnacentral:rRNA from 1 species
GACCUGCGGAAGGAUCAUUAUUGAAAUAAACCUGAUGGGUUGUUGCUGGUUCUCUAGGGAGCAUGUGCACGCCUUGUCAUCUUUAUAUCUCCACCUGUGCANUUUUUGUAGACCUCUCAGGUCUAUGUUGCUUCAUUUACCCCAAUGUAUGUUAAUAGAAUGUUGUGCCUAUAUAAUAUAUACAACUUUCAGCAACGGAUCUCUUGGCUCUCGCAUCGAUGAAGAACGCAGCGAAAUGCGAUAAGUAAUGUGAAUUGCAGAAUUCAGUGAAUCAUCGAAUCUUUGAACGCACCUUGCGCUCCUUGGUAUUCCGAGGAGCAUGCCUGUUUGAGUGUCAUUAAUAUAUAUAUCAACCUUCUCUUGUUGAGUAGUUUGGAUGUGGGGGGUUUGCUGGCUUCUUAAAUGAAUUCAGCUCCCCUGAAAUGCAUUAGCAGAACAACCUGUUCAUUGGCGUGAUAACUAUCUACGCUAUUGAAUGUGAGGGGCAGUUCAGCUUUCUAACCGUCCUUGGACAAUUCAUCAUUAAUGUGACCUCAAAUCAGGUAGGACUACCCGCUGAACUUAAGCAUA